UUGACCUCGGAUCAGGUAGGGAUACCCGCUGAACUUAACCAUAUCAGUA
rnacentral:rRNA from 1 species